UACGUAGGGAGCAAGCGUUGUCCGGAAUCAUUGGGCGUAAAGCGCGCGUAGGUGGCCCCAUAAGUCCGCUGUGAAAGUCAAAGGCUCAACCUUUGAAAGCCGGUGGAUACUGUGGGACUAGAGUACGGAAGAGGCGAGUGGAAUUCCCGGUGUAGCGGUGAAAUGCGCAGAUAUCAGGAGGAACACCAAUAGCGAAGGCAGCUCGCUGGGACGUUACUGACACUGAGGCGCGAAAGCGUGGGGAGCGAACAGG
rnacentral:rRNA from 1 species